GAUAACUACUGGAAACGGUAGCUAAUACCGCAUAACGUCGCAAGACCAAAGAGGGGGACCUUAGGGCCUCUUGCCAUCGGAUGUGCCCAGAUGGGAUUAGCUAGUAGGUGGGGUAAAGGCUCACCUAGGCGACGAUCCCUAGCUGGUCUGAGAGGAUGACCAGCCACACUGGAACUGAGACACGGUCCAGACUCCUACGGGAGGCAGCAGUGGGGAAUAUUGCACAAUGGGCGCAAGCCUGAUGCAGCCAUGCCGCGUGUAUGAAGAAGGCCUUCGGGUUGUAAAGUACUUUCAGCGGGGAGGAAGGGAGUAAAGUUAAUACCUUUGCUCAUUGACGUUACCCGCAGAAGAAGCACCGGCUAACUCCGUGCCAGCAGCCGCGGUAAUACGGAGGGUGCAAGCGUUAAUCGGAAUUACUGGGCGUAAAGCGCACGCAGGCGGUUUGUUAAGUCAGAUGUGAAAUCCCCGGGCUCAACCUGGGAACUGCAUCUGAUACUGGCAAGCUUGAGUCUCGUAGAGGGGGGUAGAAUUCCAGGUGUAGCGGUGAAAUGCGUAGAGAUCUGGAG
rnacentral:rRNA from 1 species